rnacentral:rRNA from 1 species
AGUCGACCGCGGGGUGGUAACAUUCAGAGUGGAAAAGGCAGCCGACCAGAUCGUGAGCGAAGGGCCCUAAAGGUAAGUAAAGUGAAAAAGGAUGGGAGAUUGCACAGACAACCAGAAUGUUUGCUUAGAAGCAGUCACUCAUUAAAAGAGAGCGUAAUAGCACACUGGUCGAGUGAUCAUGCGCCGAAGAUUUCCGGGGCUAAAACUUACUACCGAAGCUACGGCAUCAGUAAUGAUAGGUAGGGGAGCUUCCCAUACGGGUUGAAGCAUGACCGUAAGGAAAUGGGGACAGAAUGGGAGUGAGAAUGUUGACAUGAGUAGCGAGAUGUGUGUGAGCAUCCCUCAGGCAGUCGACCCAAGGUUUCGCAGGGAAGAUCAGUACGACCUUGCUUCGUGGUGAGCUCAACUAGCGCCAGAAGGCUCUCGUGGUGGGCAUCAGGUUG